rnacentral:rRNA from 1 species
CGGAUGAGAAGAGCUUGCUCUUCGAUUCAGCGGCGGACGGGUGAGUAAUGCCUAGGAAUCUGCCUGGUAGUGGGGGACAACGUUUCGAAAGGAACGCUAAUACCGCAUACGUCCUACGGGAGAAAGCAGGGGACCUUCGGGCCUUGCGCUAUCAGAUGAGCCUAGGUCGGAUUAGCUAGUUGGUGAGGUAAUGGCUCACCAAGGCGACGAUCCGUAACUGGUCUGAGAGGAUGAUCAGUCACACUGGAACUGAGACACGGUCCGGACUCCUACGGGAGGCAGCAGUGGGGAAUAUUGGACAAUGGGCGAAAGCCUGAUCCAGCCAUGCCGCGUGUGUGAAGAAGGUCUUCGGAUUGUAAAGCACUUUAAGUUGGGAGGAAGGGCAGUAAGUUAAUACCUUGCUGUUUUGACGUUACCGACAGAAUAAGCACCGGCUAACUCUGUGCCAGCAGUCGCGGUAAUACAGAGGGUGCAAGCGUUAAUCGGAAUUACUGGGCGUAAAGCGCGCGUAGGUGGUUCGUUAAGUUGGAUGUGAAAGCCCCGGGCUCAACCUGGGAACUGCAUCCAAAACUGGCGAGCUAGAGUAUGGUAGAGGGUGGUGGAAUUUCCUGUGUAGCGGUGAAAUGCGUAGAUAUAGGAAGGAACACCAGUGGCGAAGGCGACCA